rnacentral:rRNA from 1 species
UACUUUAGUCUAGUUGGAGGAACCUGUUUUAUAAACGAUAAACCACGUAAAAUCUUUCUUAUUCUUGUAUAGUUAGUAUACCUUCAUUACAGAUAAUUUUGAUUGAUUGAUUAUUGUAAGCGGUUGAUAAACCAAGUAAAUUAGAUCAAGGUGCUGCAAAUGAAUAAGUAAAAAUGGGUUACAAUGGUUUUUAACGUUAAGCGGAUUAUAUUUAGGAUAAAUAUAUGAAGAUGGAUUCAAUUGUAAUUUUAACUUUAAUAAGGUAAAAUGGUAUUAGCUCUAAAGUGUGUACAUAU